CUUAUUCUUUUCGUGCAACUUUAACAAGGAAUCUAUCCAAUGAUGCUUUUGCUUCCUUUUGAGGAUUCCGUGGAAAUGUGGCAUUGCAUUGAUGACACACUGAAAAUCUCACAGAGAGAGACAGAG